rnacentral:lncRNA from 1 species
GGGGGCCACUCUCUUCUCACUGGCUGUAUACUGGAUCAUGGUCAGGGUGUUUCAGAAGUUUAAUUAGUUGAAAGAUGUUCAGAUGUGGAUGCAUGACAUGCUUCUUCAGGUUGCUGUGUCAUCCCUCUAGAUGAUUUAUUGUCCUUGCUCCUUGUGUUAAGUAGUGGUUCAAACGGUGACUGUUCUGUUCAACCAAGUAUGUUGUUACAUAGUCUGUACAUUGUGUUCUUGAAAGAU